GGAGAUUUUUGAGAUUGUCUUGAACUGGAGUUGUGUGAUCCGUGUCAGGAAUGAGAACACCCUGACCAAGAUCAACAACUUGAGGGAAAGACACAUAUUCUUCCUCAAAGACAAAAUCUCUAAUAACUUUAUCUCCCCACCCUCCAAAGUCAAUAUCCUCAAAAAACCUUAGCAUUACCCGUCUCAAAAAUAGUUCUAGAAGUGGGAUCAUAAAACUUAAAACCCCUGGANNN
rnacentral:lncRNA from 1 species